rnacentral:tRNA from 5 species
GCGCCCUUAGCUCAGCUGGAUAGAGCACGUCCCUUCUAAGGAUGUGGUCGCAGGUUCGAAUCCUGCAGGGCGCACCA